GACGUAGGGCGCGAGCGUUGUCCGGAUUUAUUGGGCGUAAAGAGCUCGUAGGCGGCUUGUCGCGUCGUCCGUGAAAACCUGCGGCUCAACUGCAGGCUGGCGGUCGAUACGGGCAGACUAGAGUUCGGCAGGGGAGACUGGAAUUCCUGGUGUAGCGGUGAAAUGCGCAGAUAUCAGGAGGAACACCGAUGGCGAAGGCAGGUCUCUGGGCCACUACUGACGCUGAGAAGCGAAAGCAUGGGGAGCGAACAGG
rnacentral:rRNA from 1 species